rnacentral:rRNA from 1 species
AUUGAACGCUGGCGGCAUGCCUUACACAUGCAAGUCGAACGGCAGCACGGGAGCAAUCCUGGUGGCGAGUGGCGAACGGGUGAGUAAAGUAUCGGAACGUGCCCAGUCGUGGGGGAUAACGUAGCGAAAGUUACGCUAAUACCGCAUACGAUCUAUGGAUGAAAGCGGGGGAUCGCAAGACCUCGCGCGAUUGGAGCGGCCGAUAUCAGAUUAGGUAGUUGGUGGGGUAAAGGCUCACCAAGCCGACGAUCUGUAGCUGGUCUGAGAGGACGACUAGCCACCCUGUGACUGGCACACGGCCCAGACACCUACGGGAGGCAGCAGGGGGGAAUUUUGGACAAUGGGCGAAAGCCUGAUCCAGCCAUGCCGCGUGCAGGAUGAAGGCCUUCGGGUUGUAAACUGCUUUUGUACGGAACGAAAAGGUUUGGCCUAAUAAGCUGAGCUCAUGACGGUACCGUAAGAAUAAGCACCGGCUAACUACGUGCCAGACGCCGCGGUAA